rnacentral:rRNA from 1 species
GAUGAACGCUAGCUACAGGCUUAACACAUGCAAGUCGAGCGAGAACCAGGGCUUCGGCCCUGGGGACAGCGGCGAACGGGUGAGUAACACGUGGGUAAUCUGCCCUUGACAUCGGGAUAGCCCGGGGAAACCCGGAUUAAUACCGAAUAGCCUCCGGAGCCUUUGGGCGCCGGAGAAAAGGUAGCUUCGGCCUCUGGUCAAGGAUGAGCCCGCGGCGGAUUAGCUUGUUGGCGGGGUAACGCCCACAAGGCGACGAUCCGUAGCUGGUCUGAGAGGACGAUCAGCCACACUGGGACUGAGACACGGGCCCAGACUCCUACGGGACGCAGCAGUGGGGAAUCUUGCGCAAAUGCGGGAAACCGUGACGCAGCGACGCCGCGUGGGGGAAGAAGGGCCUUCGGGUUGU